rnacentral:snRNA from 1 species
AUACUUGCCUAGCAGGGGAGAUACUGUGAUCAUAAAUGUGAUUUUCCCAGGGAAAGGCUUAUCCAUUGUACUCCAGAUGGGCUAACCCCUGUGAUUCCCCGGUAGGUAUGGUAUUUUUCUCAAAUCAAGACUACUUUUGGUCAGUAAUAAUGAUUUUUA